GCUCCGGUGGCCUAGUGGUCAGAGCGUCUGCCUUGGAUGCGGGAUGUCGUGGGUUUGAUCCCAAGCCGGGGUCA